rnacentral:rRNA from 1 species
UAAAUUUAAUUUUAAUUGAUAAUUAUUCAUAAUCAAUAAAUUAAUUCCAUCUAUCUCUGUAAAGAAUAAAUAUAAAUUUCUAGUAAUUAUUUAUUAACUAAAAUACCUUUUGUAUAAUGGUUUAACAAUUAAAAUAAUAAUAUUUUUAUCCCGAAAAUAAAUGAGCUUAAUUAUUGUUGUUCAGAACUAAAAAUUUAAAGUAAAAAUUUUAUUUUAAAACAAUAAUUAAGAAGCCACAUACUUUUCGCAUUUAUUAAUAUCUGGUUACAUAAAUAAACUAUUUAAUAGUUAAUUCAAUUAUGAAUCUAUAAAAAUUAAAGGAUAAGCUUUAAUUUAAACCCUUUUUAAUUUAAUAUUUAUAAAUUUAAGCUUAAAAUUAGCUAUAAUUCUAAUUAUGUCAUAAUUUUUAUUUUCAUAAAUCUAAAAUUAUUUAUAUUAUGUAACUUUAAAAAACCUAAAUUAAUUUAUUUUAUGUUAAAAUUAGUAUUUCUAUAUCUAUUAUUAUAUUAUUUUAUAAUUUUAUUUAAAGGAACUCGGCAAUAAUUUUUUUGGCUGUUUAACAAAAACAUAGUUCUCUGCUUAUUUAUAGAGAAUAAUUUCUGCUCAAUGUAAUUUAUAAAUAGCUGCAUCAUAUGUACUAAGGUAGCGUAAUAAUUUGCCUUUUAAUUGGAGGAUUGUAUGAAGGAAAACACAAGAAAAAUGCUGUCUCUAUAUUAUAAAUAAAAAUUAAUCUAUAGGUGAAAAAGCCUAUAUUAAAUAAAUAGACAAGAAGACCCUGUUGAGCUUUUUCUAAUAAAUAAUAAUUAGAUUUUGUUGGGGCAACAUAAAUUAUUAAAAUCAAUUUUAAUCAAACAAAGAAUAAAUUCAUUUUAAUCAUCUUAUUUUAUAAAAAAUUAAUAAGUUACCACAGGGAUAACAGGCUAAUUUUUUUAUAGAGUACAAAUUAACAAAAAAGUUUGGCACCUCGAUGUUGGCUUAAGGUUUCAUUUAAAAGUAGUAAUUUAAAUAGUUGGUUUGUUCAACCAUUAAAACCUUACGUGAUCUGAGNUCAGACCGGCC